rnacentral:rRNA from 1 species
GACGAACGCUGGCGGCGUGCUUAACACAUGCAAGUCGAGCGGAAAGGCCACUUCGGUGGUACUCGAGCGGCGAACGGGUGAGUAACACGUGAGUAAUCUGCCCCUCACUUUGGGAUAGCCACCGGAAACGGUGAUUAAUACCGGAUAUGACCAUAUGUCGCAUGGCGUGUGGUGGAAAGUUUUUCGGUGAGGGAUGUGCUCGCGGCCUAUCAGCUUGAUGGUGAGGGAAUGGCUCACCAUGGCUUCGACGGGUAGCCGGCCUGAGAGGGUGACCGGUCACAAUGGGACUGAGACACGGCCCAGAAUCCUGCGGGCGGCAGCAGUGGGGAAUAUUGGAGAAUGGGCGGACGCCUGAUACAGCAACGCCGCGUGAGGGAUGACGGCCUUCGGGUUGUAAACCUCUUUCAGUACAGACGAAGCGGAAGUGACGGUAGGUACAGAAGAAGCCCCGGCCAACUACGUG